AAUUAAUAAUUAAUAAGCUUUUAUAAGCAUAUGUCUUGAAAACAUAAGAAAGAAGCCAUAACCUUCUAUUAAUUU
rnacentral:tRNA from 1 species